GCGGCUUAUUCCGGCGCCACUACCUAUAACCGUCAUCGAGAAAUUAGGAAACCGCGUGUCGGCGUUUAGCAUUUCACCGGAGAUUCUUGAAGAAUGCGUCGGAGAACACAUCUAACGGGUAGCCAUGACUCGGAUCAGAGUAUUUCAGAUGAGGAAGAUUUCGGCCAGAAGAACUCUAUUUGCUCACGUCAACUAGAAGAAGCAAAG